rnacentral:rRNA from 1 species
UACGUAGGGGGCAAGCGUUGUCCGGAAUCAUUGGGCGUAAAGAGCGCGUAGGCGGUCCGGUAAGUCCGCUCUGAAAGCCCGGGGCUCAACCCCGGGAGGCGGGCGGAUACUGUCGGGCUAGAGUCCGGAAGAGGCGAGUGGAAUUCCUGGUGUAGCGGUGAAAUGCGCAGAUAUCAGGAGGAACACCGAUGGCGAAGGCAGCUCGCUGGGACGGUACUGACGCUGAGGCGCGAAAGCUAGGGUAGCAAACGGG